UAUGGUAAUUGUGUGCCGCCGCGGUAAUACGUAGGUGGCAAGCGUUGUCCGGAAUUAUUGGGCGUAAAGCGCGCGCAGGCGGCUUCUUAAGUCCAUCUUAAAAGUGCGGGGCUUAACCCCGUGAUGGGAUGGAAACUGAGAGGCUGGAGUAUCGGAGAGGAAAGUGGAAUUCCUAGUGUAGCGGUGAAAUGCGUAGAGAUUAGGAAGAACACCGGUGGCGAAGGCGACUUUCUGGACGACAACUGACGCUGAGGCGCGAAAGCGUGGGGAGCAAACAGG
rnacentral:rRNA from 1 species